AUUUUUGGACGACCGCUGGCGGCAGGCCUAACACAUGCAAGUCGAACGCAUCCUUCGGGAUGAGUGGCGCACGGGUGAGUAACACGUGGGAAUUUACACUUAGGUGCGGAACAACAGUUGGAAACGACUGCUAAUACCGCAUAAUGACUCCGGUCCAAAGAUUUAUCGCCUAAGGAUAAGCCCGCGUCUGAUUAGCUAGUUGGUGAGGUAAUGGCUCACCAAGGCGACGAUCAGUAGGGGGUUUGAGAGGAUGAUCCCCCACACUGGGACUGAGACACGGCCCAGACUCCUACGGGAGGCAGCAGUGGGGAAUAUUGGACAAUGGGCGCAAGCCUGAUCUAGCCAUGCCGCGUGAGUGACGAAGGCCCUAGGGUCGUAAAGCUCUUUCGCCUGUGAUGAUAAUGACAGUAGCAGGUAAAGAAACCCCGGCUAACUCCGUGCCAGCAGCCGCGGUAAUACGGAGGGGGUUAGCGUUGUUCGGAAUUACUGGGCGUAAAGCGCGCGUAGGCGGAUUGGAAAGUUGGGGGUGAAAUCCCGGGGCUCAACCCCCGGAACUGCCUCAAAACUUCCAGUCUGG
rnacentral:rRNA from 1 species